CCCGCUGAACUUAAGCAUAUCAAUAAGCGGCGGAAAAGAAACCAACAGGGAUUGCCUUAGUGACGGCGAGUGAAGCGGCAAAAGCUCAAAUUUGAAAUCUGGCAGUAAUGUCCUAGAUGUAAUUUGAAGAAGGUACACUUCGGUGAUAGCUCUUGGCAUAUGUUCCUUGGAACAGGACGUCAUAGAGGGUGAGAAUCCCGUAUCUGGUGAGAUGACAUAUGACUAUGUAAAGUGCCUUCGAAGAGUCGAGUUGUCGUGGGAAUGCAGCUCUAAGUGGGUGGAAAAUUCGAUCUAAAGCUAAAAUAUAGUGGGAGAUCGAUAGCGCACCAGUAGAGUGAUGGGAAAGUGAAAAGCCCUUUGGAAAGGAAAGUAAAAAAGACGGGGAAUUGGUUGAAAGGAAGUGCUUGGCACUAAGUUUGGUCUUGGUUGAUCAACCCGUUCUUCCUCACGGUGGCACUCUCGCUGUGGUCAGUCCAGCAUCAUUUCGGGCGGUUGGUGAAAGUCCGUGGGAAUGUGUCUUCCUUUGGAAGUCGCCUAGUACUUCAGUACGAUGCGUCCCGCCUUGCCUCCGAGCUGCGCGCUGAGUGGCUAGGAUGCUGGCAUAAUGGUCGUAAGCGACCCGUCUUGAAACACGG
rnacentral:rRNA from 1 species